rnacentral:misc_RNA from 1 species
UUUUUUUACUUUAUUAGUUUACAAAAUCAUAAUUCUUGUUUACAACAAACAUUCAUGAGAAAACUUGGACACGAAUGAUACAGAUACCACAAUUGAGUACAUAUUUUUCAUUUUUGGGUAUGGUUUCGGUUUAGUUUGAAUUGGUUAAACUAGAUUACAUAUCCUUAAUGAAAACUACGUACUGUGCAAAAACAUUAAAGACUUUCUUUGUGAUGGUUAUGUAAUUUGCGGGAUAGAGGAUGAUUUAAUUGAGAUAUUAGAGAGGAAAAACUUGGGACUUCACAUUCGGCUUUGAGGACGAGAAAAAGCGCUUGGUCGAGCUCUUAAAGGAAGAUGGGGUCGUGUUGCUCCAAAAUCUGAUUGAUCCAAACGCAAGACCUCCCAAUAAAGAGUCCUCUGCUAAGAAAUGGUCGAGCCUCGGUUUCAAGGACCCUAGCCCCAAGAAAAAUGUAAGGUAUAUCCUCAAACUUGCGUUCCAAGCCUCCAUUUAUUCUCUUUGGAAGGAAAGGAAUAGCAGAUUGCAUACAGUUCUCAUUACAAAAAUCAAGAACAAUCAUUAGGUGCAAACUUGAUCCUCUCUUGCUCUCUCUAGAGUUCAAGAGAACUCUCCUAACGUUAUAUCCUUUUUGGUCACUUGGUUUGAGUUGUUUCAGUAUUAGCCUAUUAGGUGUUCGCAAGUUUGGAAAUAUGUUUUCCCUUGCUUGCUUUCGAUGCUAUUGUGCUUA